GAUGAACGCUGGCGGCGUGCUUAACACAUGCAAGUCGAGCGGGCAAUUUAUCUAGCACUGAUUACUUCAAAUGGAAAUCAUAAGUGUAAUCAUGAAUUUCUACCUUUAAUAAAGAAAAAGAAAUUCAUGUACGCAAAUAGUGAUAACACAUUUUAGUGGAGUGAUGAGUGCUGGAUAAAUUGCUAGCGGCGGACGGGUGCGUAACACGUGGGUAACCUGCCCCUAUCACUGGGAUAACACACUGAAAAGUGUGCUAAUACCAGAUAACAUAAGCUUUUGGCAUCAUUAGCUUAUCAAAGAAUUUCGGAUAGGGAUGGGCCCGGUCUGAUUAGCUAGUUGGUGAGGUAACGGCUCACCAAGGCAACGAUCAGUAGCCGACCUGAGAGGGUGAUCGGCCACACUGGAACUGAGACACGGUCCAGACUCCUACGGGAGGCAGCAGUGGGGAAUAUUGCACAAUGGGCG
rnacentral:rRNA from 1 species